rnacentral:rRNA from 1 species
GUUGACACUCAAUCAUAUAUAAAACAGUUAAAAAACUACUUACACACCAAUUUACUACUAACCUACAAAAUUACAAGUACUAAAAAGGAAAUAAUAUUAAUUUUAAGUAGUGAUAUCCCACGUACCUUGUGCAUUAUGGUUUUACAAGAUAAAAAUUAAAAAUAUUAUUCCCGAAUCCUACGCGAGCUGCUUCUAUAUAGCUAAGAGCCCACUACUAGUUGUAGCAACAACUUUAGAAAAUAUAUUAGCAGAGGCUACAUACCACACGCGCUAGAAAAUCGCUGGUUUUCAGUAAAACUUAUUAAUUAAAACAUGCAGUACCCCUGCAAUGUAAGAUUUCAGAGGAUAAGCCCUGUAAUCCCAAGCUAUACUCCAAGCACCACAAUAACAUUAGGCCUAAAAACAGCCAUCACAAAUACUUCACCGUAUAAAAUAAUUCACAAUCACUAAUUCUGCAUGCCCAAACUAACUGAAAUUUAGGAAAAACCUUAAACCCUAAAAUAUUCUGUAAAAAUAAGUAUUAGAAAAAUAAAAAUAACACACUUAAAACAUAUUUCAUAAUUAACAACCAAACACUUAUAAAGGAACUCGGCAAAUUCUUAUUU